rnacentral:rRNA from 1 species
UACGUAGGUGGCAAGCGUUGUCCGGAAUUAUUGGGCGUAAAGCGCGCGCAGGCGGUUUCUUAAGUCUGAUGUGAAAGCCCACGGCUCAACCGUGGAGGGUCAUUGGAAACUGGGGAACUUGAGUGCAGAAGAGAAGAGCGGAAUUCCACGUGUAGCGGUGAAAUGCGUAGAGAUGUGGAGGAACACCAGUGGCGAAGGCGGCUCUUUGGUCUGUAACUGACGCUGAGGCGCGAAAGCGUGGGGGAGCAAACAGG